GUGGGGAAUUUUGGACAAUGGGCGCAAGCCUGAUCCAGCAAUGCCGCGUGCAGGAAGAAGGCCUUCGGGUUGUAAACUGCUUUUGUACGGAACGAAACGGUCCGGGUUAAUACCCUGGGCUAAUGACGGUACCGUAAGAAUAAGCACCGGCUAACUACGUGCCAGCAGCCGCGGUAAUACGUAGGGUGCAAGCGUUAAUCGGAAUUACUGGACGUAAAGCGUGCGCAGGCGGUUUUGUAAGACAGGCGUGAAAUCCCCGGGCUCAACCUGGGAAUUGCGCUUGUGACUGCAAGGCUGGAGUGCGGCAGAGGGGGAUGGAAUUCCGCGUGUAGCAGUGAAAUGCGUAGAUAAGCGGAGGAACACCGAUGGCGAAGGCAAUCCCCUGGGCCUGCACUGACGCUCAUGCACGAAAGCGUGGGGAGCAAACAGGAUUAGAAACCCCAGUAGUCC
rnacentral:rRNA from 1 species